CCUACGGGUGGCAGCAGUGAGGAAUAUUGGUCAAUGGACGAGAGUCUGAACCAGCCAAGUAGCGUGAAGGAUGACUGCCCUAUGGGUUGUAAACUUCGUUUAUAUGGGAAUAAAAUGUUCCACGUGUGGGAUUUUGUAUGUACCAUAUGAAUAAGGAUCGGCUAACUCCGUGCCAGCAGCCGCGGUAAUACGGAGGAUCCGAGCGUUAUCCGGAUUUAUUGGGUUUAAAGGGAGAGUAGGUGGAUUGUUAAGUCAGUUGUGAAAGUUUGCGGCUCAACCGUAAAAUUGCAGUUGAAACUGGCAGUCUUGAGUACAGUAGAGGUGGGCGGAAUUCGUGGUGUAGCGGUGAAAUGCUUAGAUAUCACGAAGAACUCCGAUUGCGAAGGCAGUUCACUGGACUGCAACUGACACUGAGGCUCGAAAGUGUGGGUAUCAAACAGGAUUAGAUACCCUUGUAGUC
rnacentral:rRNA from 1 species